UAGUCUGCAGUCUAUUGGCUAAGGUACAUGACUGGGACCCCUGAGGUUGGUGGUUCAAGCCCCCCCAGUCUAG